rnacentral:rRNA from 1 species
AUUGAACGCUGGCGGCAUGCUUUACACAUGCAAGUCGAACGGCAGCACGGGCUUCGGCCUGGUGGCGAGUGGCGAACGGGUGAGUAAUAUAUCGGAACGUACCCAGAAGUGGGGGAUAACGUAGCGAAAGUUACGCUAAUACCGCAUACGAUCUAUGGAUGAAAGCAGGGGACCGCAAGGCCUUGUGCUCCUGGAGCGGCCGAUAUCUGAUUAGCUAGUUGGUGGGGUAAAGGCUCACCAAGGCGACGAUCAGUAGUUGGUCUGAGAGGACGACCAGCCACACUGGAACUGAGACACGGUCCAGACUCCUACGGGAGGCAGCAGUGGGGAAUUUUGGACAAUGGGCGCAAGCCUGAUCCAGCAAUGCCGCGUGAGUGAAGAAGGCCUUCGGGUUGUAAAGCUCUUUUGUCAGGGAAGAAACGGUAUAGGCUAAUAUCCUGUGCUAAUGACGGUACCUGAAGAAUAAGCACCGGCUAACUACGUG